AUACGUAGGGGGCGAGCGUUGUCCGGAAUGAUUGGGCGUAAAGGGCGCGUAGGCGGCCCGGUAAGUCUGGAGUGAAAGUCCUGUUUUUAAGAUGGGAAUUGCUUUGGAUACUGUCGGGCUUGAGUGCAGGAGAGGUAAGUGGAAUUCCCAGUGUAGCGGUGAAAUGCGUAGAGAUUGGGAGGAACACCAGUGGCGAAGGCGACUUACUGUACUUUAACUGACGCUGAGGCGCGAAAGUGUGGGGAGCAAACAGGAUUAGAUACCCUGGUAGUCCACACUGUAAACGAUGAAUGCUAGGUGUAGGGGGUAUCGACCCCUUCUGUGCCGCAGUCAACACAAUAAGCAUUCCGCCUGGGGAGUACGGCCGCAAGGUUGAAACUCAAAGGAAUUGACGGGG
rnacentral:rRNA from 1 species